GACGAACGCUGGCGGCGUGCUUAACACAUGCAAGUCGAACGGAAAGGCCUCUUUCGGGGGGUACUCGCGUGGCGAACGGGUGAGUAACACGUGAGUAACCUGCCCUUGACUUUGGGAUAACUUCAGGAAACUGGGGCUAAUACCGGAUAGGAGCUCCUGCUGCAUGGUGGGGGUUGGAACGUUUCGGCGGUUGGGGAUGGACUCGCGGCUUAUCAGCUUGUUGGUGGGGUAGGGGCUUACCAAGGCGUUGACGGGUAGCCGGCCUGAGAGGGUGACCGGCCACAUUGGGACUGAGAUACGGCCCAGACUCCUACGGGAGGCAGCAGUGGGGAAGAUUGCACAAUGGGUGGAAGCCUGAUGCAGCAACGCCGUGUGCGGGAUGACGGCCUUCGGGUUGUAAACCGCUUUCGCUCAUGACGAAGCUUUGUGUGACGGUAGUGGGUAAAGAAGCACCGGCUAACUACGUG
rnacentral:rRNA from 1 species